CGCUGGCGGCAGGCCUAACACAUGCAAGUCGAGCGGUAGAGAGAAGCUUGCUUCUCUCGAGAGCGGCGGACGGGUGAGUAAUACCUAGGAAUCUGCCUGAUAGUGGGGGAUAACGUUCGGAAACGGACGCUAAUACCGCAUACGUCCUACGGGAGAAAGCAGGGGACCUUCGGGCCUUGCGCUAUCAGAUGAGCCUAGGUCGGAUUAGCUAGUUGGUGAGGUAAUGGCUCACCAAGGCUACGAUCCGUAACUGGUCUGAGAGGAUGAUCAGUCACACUGGAACUGAGACACGGUCCAGACUCCUACGGGAGGCAGCAGUGGGGAAUAUUGGACAAUGGGCGAAAGCCUGAUCCAGCCAUGCCGCGUGUGUGAAGAAGGUCUUCGGAUUGUAAAGCACUUUAAGUUGGGAGGAAGGGCAGUUACCUAAUACGUGAUUGUCUUGACGUUACCGACAGAAUAAGCACCGGCUAACUCUGUGCCAGCAGCCGCGGUAAUACAGAGGGUGCAAGCGUUAAUCGGAAUUACUGGGCGUAAAGCGCGCGUAGGUGGUUUGUUAAGUUGAAUGUGAAAUCCCCGGGCUCAACCUGGGAACUGCAUCCAAAACUGGCAAGCUAGAGUAUGGUAGAGGGUAGUGGAAUUUCCUGUGUAGCGGUGAAAUGCGUAGAUAUAGGAAGGAACACCAGUGGCGAAGGCGACUACCUGGACUGAUACUGACACUGAGGUGCGAAAGCGUGGGGAGCAAACAGGAUUAAAUACCCUGGUAGUCC
rnacentral:rRNA from 1 species